rnacentral:lncRNA from 1 species
AAUGGAAAGAGCGUUGGUUUGGAGCCUGAAAGUCUAGGUUUGAAUGUUGGCUUUGUGCUAGCAGCUGUGGGAGAGUGACUGAAGCUCUUGAUCAUGACUCAUGGCAUCUGGGCCUCUGCCUUGCAAGUUAACCACGACUUUACCCAUUUAUCCUGAGUUGGUCUUGUCACAGCAGCGAAGGUGAACCACGCUCAAAAAGGCUAUGGAUAAGGCUAGGAGAGCUCACAGCAUCCUGUCUCCUCCAGAAGCUCUUCCCCAGCUGAAAUGGAAGUGAAAGACUGGUAGUCUCCUCCUCAACCACCCACCUCCUGGGGCCCUGACUGUGUGGAUGAACUCCUCACACCCAGGAUUUGUGUCUCCAGUGAAAAGCAGCAAUUUAUCCUACACUGAAAAUUUCCUGAAUAAAAACAGUUCAU